AAAUGAUAGUGCAUGUAAAUCAGCGGCCACCUCUCGGAUUGGGUUGUUUAAGACUCGGAAGAAGACUGACAAGCAAUGAUAGGGAGCAUAGCAAUAAACAUAGUGGAUGGAGUGCACACAGAGCCUUGUUCCUAAAAAAGAGGGAGAAGAAAAGGAAGAAGGCAGCAUCCUGACACAGCCCUUUCCUUCAGCUGCCCCUUUCCCUGGAGUUCAAGGUAGAAAUGGGAAACAAGUCCUGUUGCAGUGAGAGGGCAGCUGCUAUCAGCCAGUCUCUAUCUUUACCUGGGUCCCGAUCUGAGCUGGGCGUGGGAAGCGAAGCAGCCAUGGGGGCAGGAGACCUCCCUCAGAAGGGGUGAAGGUUCAGGCCUCUGCAAAGUUGGGGGGUGAGGGCCUGUGCCCCGCCUCUGUUGACCCCCAAGUUGUUUCCUGAUGGCCCCUCUGUGACUGUGCCUGUCUUAGGUUGUUCUUUCCCUGAGGAAUCUUACCCAUCUCUGGCUAGCCAGCCAUCCUCUGGGGCCAAGCAGGGUGAUGUGAGGUGUGCGAAUGAGGGAGGGGCAGCGCCCCCCUGCAAGAGGUUCAGUUCUGUCUCCUUGGUAGCCUAUGCCCCCGUGGCCUCCACGCCCAGCACCUGCCUUGGGCUCCCCUCGCCUGCAAAUGGACUGUGAGAAGAGGGUCCCUCUUGACACAAGGGCAAGAGGGGCCAAUACAGGACAAGGGAGGAACGGCCUGUCAGCAUGUAGUCCCAGGACAGGGCUUUCUCAGCCCAGGAUGUCAGGCUCUUGGUACAAGACAACUCCACGUAUGGGGCAUAUACCAGACACCCCCAGUCACGGCAGAAAAAGGGAGGUUCCCUUCCUGGAACAGUAGGGUAGGGAGAUUCUAGAAAAGGCUGUGUUCAGGAGAGAAGGAGAAAGGCCAAAGAACCAGCAAACAAGUAGUCAGAUUAAAAAAAGAAAAAAUAAAGAAAAAGGAAA